rnacentral:rRNA from 1 species
AGUCUGCAACCCGACUACAUGAAGCUGGAAUCGCUAGUAAUCGCGGAUCAGAAUGCCGCGGUGAAUACGUUCCCGGGUCUUGUACACACCGCCCGUCACACCAUGGGAGUCGGAAAUGCCCGAAGUCUGUGACCCAACCGGAAGGAGGGAGCAGCCGAAGGCAGGUCGGAUGACUGGGGUGAAGUCGUAACAAGGUACC